GAAAAUUGGUCAGAUUAAGUUAGGGAAAAUGGUCAGGUUAAGUUAGGAAAAAUAGUAAGAAAAUAAUAACUUAUAAUAAAACGUUAUCGUUAACCCGGACGACCAUUUUUCUGCACGUGUCAACAGUGGUUUAAGGGUAGUUUACAAUGAAAACUAAAAUGCCAUAAAGCAGAGUACUCAUAGAACAUGUUUAAUUAUACUUGAUAAUAAAGAUUUUAUUUUUCAAUUUAAAA
rnacentral:lncRNA from 1 species